GAUGAACGCUGGCGGCGUGCUUAACACAUGCAAGUCGAACGGAAAGGCCCAAGCUUGCUUGGGUACUCGAGUGGCGAACGGGUGAGUAACACGUGGGUGAUCUGCCCUGCACUUCGGGAUAAGCCUGGGAAACUGGGUCUAAUACCGGAUAGGACCACAUUUUGGAUGGUGUGGUGGAAAGUUUUUCGGUGUGGGAUGAGCUCGCGGCCUAUCAGCUUGUUGGUGGGGUAAUGGCCUACCAAGGCGUCGACGGGUAGCCGGCCUGGGAGGGUGUACGGCCACAUUGGGACUGGGAUACGGCCCAGACUCCUACGGGGGGCAGCAGGGGGGAAUAUUGCACAAUGGGCGCAAGCCUGAUGCAGCGACGCCGCGGGGGGGAUGACGGCCUUCGGGUUGUAAACUCCUUUCGCUAGGGACGAAGCGUUAUGUGACGGUACCUGGAGAAGAAGCACCGGCUAACUACGUG
rnacentral:rRNA from 1 species